CCAAAACGGCUACCGGGCUACCAACGUCCAGAAGAGAGGACAUCGGAUAUCUGAAAGCAUUGUUUCGAUGGACGUCUUUCCUCUGACCUGUUACCAAGACAGCUGGAUGUGUAAGAAGCUGGAACUAAGUCACUGAAGAAGUAAACCGAUGAAAACCGAUUUGGAUUGUCUGAGAGAUGACACAAGUAAAAGGAGAAGAAUGCUGCUCAGCUGGGUUGGCGAAGCUCUUGGAUAUCAUCAGCACAUGUAUGAAGCACAGAGUCAUUCCGGUAGGCACAGAGUCGUUCCUCGAUGGACGUGAUGACCUGGGACCAAAACCGCUUAAUGUGUAUGAGGCUGUGUCUGCAUCGAGGGAAGAACCCAGCACUGAAAUGACACAAAUGAAAGAAGAGUACUUCUGCUCUGCUGGGUCUGCGACACUACUUAUCCGAGGAGUCCUCAAACAUCAGGAUGUAGGAAGACACAAGUAAAAGGAGAAGAAUGCUGCUCAGCUGGGUCGGCGGUCACACUACUUAUUCAAGAAGCUCUUGGAUAUCAUCGGCAUGUAUAAAGCACGGAGUCGUUCCUCGAUGGACGUGAUGACCUGGCACCAAAACCGCUUAAUGUGUAUGAAGCUGUGUCUGCAUCGAGGGAAGAACCCAGCACUGAAAUGACACAAAUGAAAGAGGACGUCUUCUCUGCUGGGUCUGCGACACUACUUAUCCUAGGAAUCCUCAAACAUCAGGAUGUUGGAAACUUAUGGUGAGAUUCCAAGAGCCGCCAUGAGGGAUAUGCAACCUGCAGCUUCACCAUGCUUUUGGGAGAUCAUGUACUACGUGAACCUUGAGUAUCUACAAGCCAGCUACUUUAAGUUCUUGAAAGGGUAGUGAUGUCAUUCAAGCCAGAUCACGAGACAAGGUCCUGUACAAACUGUCAAUCUAAAUGUUGCGACAUCCCUGUCAGUUCUUUUGGACUGAAUACAUGCUGUGUUUGAAAUAUAUUAUUCGGAUAACUCCCCAUCAGGGAAUACCUUGUCUGUUAAUGACGGAUUGACAUGCCGUGCACACUUUGAUGUUUUUUAUUUUAAUGUUUUCUAUGUUUUCCAAUGUUCUUUUUUUAUUUAUGUUCUGUUAUAUGCUGUUUUUGUAAGUACUGUAUGGAAUGUAGUGACUGUAGAGACCAAGACAAAUUUCAACCUGGGGACAAAAAGUUCACACCACUCUGUUAGCGCAGUUAUGGAUGCACUGUAAAUUUUGUAAUUAACCAAAAGUACGGUGAGAAGCCUGUUUGUGCAGAUGGACCUGCUGGCGGGCCUGUUUACUCAUAGCUAAAAAGCAACAUAUUAUCUGUGCAAAAGCACAUGGGCUCUUCGAAAAGGGGUUAAACAUUUUAAUGUGCUGUUUUACAGUGUGCUAUACAAAAGGUAAGGUGAAACUAUUUUUUUGAAAUUCUAUAAUUGUACAGUGUCACUGAAAUCAAAUGGUGCAUUGGUAAAACUGAACCAUUUCCUUUAAUCCCGUUUAGCAGAGCCUAUGUUUGAACUAUACUGUCACCAAUAUUGUAAUGACUGAGUUUUAACCUGUUACUUAAGGCUCUUGGUAAUGUCAUAGCAAUGUUGCUAUGAUGUAGUUGAGUCUUUUCAGUCAUGAGUGAUCAGUCUUGCUGAUAACCCGUCUUUGCAAAGAGGCUACAAAGAUGCAUGUAAAUUCAAUUAAGGUUUUAUUGCUCCAAUGCUAUCAUGUGUUAAUGCUACACUGCUGUGAUUUGCAUCUUUAUAGUAUACUUUUAUGAAAUGUAUUGUUAAUUAUCUUCAUUGUUCAGCAAUAAAAAAAAGAUCUGAAAUAUUA